GUGUCAGCCGCCGCGGUAAUACGUAGUGUCCGAGCGUUGUCCGGAUUUAUUGGGCGUAAAGAGCUCGUAGGCGGCUCACUAAGUCGGAUGUGAAAACUCGGGGCUCAACCCCGAGACGCCAUCCGAUACUGGUGUGGCUUGAAUCUGGUAGGGGAGAUCGGAAUUCCUGGUGUAGCGGUGAAAUGCGCAGAUAUCAGGAGGAACACCGGUGGCGAAGGCGGAUCUCUGGGCCAGUAUUGACGCUGAGGAGCGAAAGCGUGGGUAGCAAACAGGAUUAGAUACCCCGGUAGUCC
rnacentral:rRNA from 1 species